ensembl:lncRNA
AUGUAUUGUUUUUCUUUCAGAAUGGCGUUGAUGAGACUUAUUAAUAGUCAUCCUGAGACCCCUUAUUUUCGUCCACCACCCUUACAUGUGCGUGUAUUAAAAGUUUCUGAACAGGCAAGGGUGAUAAAAUGGGAUGUGAAGGAGGGAGUGGCAAAACCCAUCACUAAAAAGUGUAAUAUGGUGGCAGCCCUCUCUGAUGGGGUAACAGUUGUUAAAGUGACUUUGUUUGAGGCAUUUGCAUCAAAGGUGCAGGAAGGGGUUUCAUAUAUAAUUAAAGGCCAUGAGCUAAGAGGGACAGCUCCCCCCUAUGCCAUUCAUAUUAGUGCCACCACACAAUUCUUCAGAGCCUCUGCCCUGUGUGUCCCCGAAGAGCUGCUUUCUAAAGCAGACAAUCUUUUGCAUCCCCCGGCCCCUUUGACCCAGCUGAAGAUGAGCUCUACAAAUGUGGGGCUUAUGACCGUAGAAGGGGAGGUUGUGGAGGUAAGCAUUUGUGCUGUGAUCAGGAGAUUGCUUGGUUCUUCUUUUUUUUUUUUUUUCUUCUUUUUUUUUUUUUUUUUUAAUAGAAGCCAUGACUGUUUUAUGUAUUCAAGUUUAAAUAAUGUAUUUGACUUUUCAGUGUUUGGCCAUCCGGAAAGUGGUGUCGGGGAACCAAGAAGUUCCAGUCAAAAAUGUGCAGUUAAAGCAGGAUGCUUGUACCAUGAGACUGUGUUUGUGGAGGGAGGCGGCCGUCCAUGAGCUUCACGUGGGAGACCACAUAAAGGUGUCGCACGUCAAAGUGAAACAGUCCACUUUUGGAUUCGAGCUGCACACGACAGCAUUUACAAAUAUUGAGGUAUGAAGAAGCUGUAUUUGUACCAACAUGUAAUAGCAAUGUAAAAACAAUGUUUAGAAUGAUAGAUUUUGAAAUGUAAAUGCAUACAAUCUCACAGUAGGUGAAAAUAUGAUGGUGCAUGUAUUCUAUGCUCUUGCAGAGCUAGCAAGCUGUAUUUGGUAUAUAGAUAUCUGGAAGUAGAUCUAUAAAUAAAUGUUAGAUAAUGCCAUGUAUUAUGUAUGUGAACUGGAAGAGUGUGUGGGGGGGGGAGAGGAGAAGAAAUGUGCCAAAUUGACCAGAGUUUUUAGAUGAAAGAAGUUGAAGGUUCAAAUGCUUACUAGGUGGUUGUGUAUUGACAGACAAAUGAAGAGGCACGUGCAGAGGUUAAUGUCGUCGGUGUCACCAGUACCAACAGCCCCAAUCAGCUUGAGCUACUACUGGAAGAUGGAGAGAGCCUGUUUAUUGACGCGCACAUGUGGCAGCCAUUUGAGAAAGACCUCGAGAAGGCCAUGGUCUGUGUAAACAUGAAACUGAAAGGGAAGCAUGUUUCAGAGAUUGAAAAAAACUAGGGUGUGAGAAGUUAAAACUGUUUGUCGUGUUGAAAAUGUUCAUUAUGUAAAGUUUAAAAGUUUCAAAUAUUUUGUGUUCAUAUGGAAAAAAAAAAAAUUGUAAUAAAGAGUUGGAAAUGAAAUGCAAAUUGGACAGUAUGAUUAAUACAAAUCAGGGCUCUAGACUAACUUUUUGCCAUGGUCGUACCGGUGCACUUUAAAACGUUAGGCGCAUUGGGCCAAAAGUUAGGUGCACUCAAAUUUUUCAACCACAUCGCUUAACACCGCACUUUUUUUGGGGGGGGGGGGGAGAAUUGCAGUCCAUACAGACAAUAUUUAUUUCUAAAUUAACUGACAUUCUUGUGCUUAAAGUGCUUUGUCAAUAUUGUAGAGAAUGUUAAACUUAAUCAUCAUCUUGGCCUCCUCUGACCACCUGUUUGCUGCUGAAAGGCAGUGGGGAGAGGGGACACUUGGGCAGUGCAUUUAUCACAGCAUAUAAUGUGAUUUCUGGAUAAACUGCUGCUUUUUCAGCAUUCAAAGAUUAAUGGCACUGUGUCAGAGCACUGGCUAUGAAUUUCAGAAGGGUCAGGCCUCAACUUAACAGAAAAGGUAUCAAUAGUUUCAUCUUUUCUUAUUACCCACAGCUACAUCCACUUCUGUCAGGCCUAGGCUGCUCACUACGGCUGGGUAUCAUCACUGAUUUCUAUAAUCCAUUCGAUUCUGCUUCUCAAAGUCCUGAUUCAGUUCAAUUUAAGACGGUCAGAAAUAUUAUUCUGAUAAUUUAUCAGUACUGAUACAUGUGAGACUUCAUAAGAAUUGUGAGCAUGACAGCAGAU